CAUGUAGGCGGAUUAAUAAGUUUGAAGUGAAAUCCUAUAGCUUAACUAUAGAACUGCUUUGAAAACUGUUAAUCUAGAAUUGGGAGAGGUAGAUGGAAUUUCUGGUGUAGGGUAAAAUCCGUAGAGAUCAGAAGGAAUACCGAUUGCGAAGGCGAUCUACUGGAACAUUAUUGACGCUGAGAUGCGAAAGCGUGGGGAGCAAACA
rnacentral:rRNA from 1 species